rnacentral:lncRNA from 1 species
UUGGUGCAAAGGUUCGACUUCUACUGCCAUACCACCAACGUCUGCCUCUGAUAUCGUGGGCCAACAUCAUAAAAUAGGAGGCAUUGCUUUUGGAACAGUCCUUGUACUUCUGUGUAAGGAAUGGUAAACACCACAUAUAAAAAGUCAGCUGGAAUAGAAGUCCACGCACUCCUUCUGGACUCAGUUCUGUCUGCUGAUUGGUAGGUUUACAUGCACAGUGUUUAGUCCAUCCUCUCUAGGAGCAGCAGAGAGAGAGAUUUCUGUAGUUGACUCUAUGGUUUGCAGUGAUGAUGCAGACAAAUCCAGUGACAUCUCAUACAAUUUUGUUUGUGUAAGAUCUCAUGUUCCUCAAAUUGAACUGCCUAAAAUGAGAAUCUUAUAA